GGGGAAUUUUGGACAAUGGGCGAAAGCCUGAUCCAGCCAUUCCGCGUGAGUGAAGAAGGCCUUCGGGUUGUAGAGCUCUUUCGGCAGGGAAGAAACGGUCUAGGUUAAUACCUUGGGCUAAUGACGGUACCUGAAGAAGAAGCACCGGCUAACUACGUGCCAGCAGCCGCGGUAAUACGUAGGGGGCGAGCGUUGUCCGGAUUUAUUGGGCGUAAAGAGCUCGUAGGCGGUUUGGCAAGUCGGGUGUGAAAACUCCGGGCUCAACUCGGAGACGCCACUCGAUACUGCCAUGACUUGAGUCCGGUAGGGGAGUGCGGAAUUCCUGGUGUAGCGGUGAAAUGCGCAGAUAUCAGGAGGAACACCGGUGGCGAAGGCGGCACUCUGGGCCGGUACUGACGCUGAGGAGCGAAAGCGUGGGGAGCGAA
rnacentral:rRNA from 1 species